rnacentral:rRNA from 1 species
CCUACGGGAGGCAGCAGUGGGGAAUUUUCCGCAAUGGGCGAAAGCCUGACGGAGCAAUCCCGCGUGAGGGAAGACUGCCUAUGGGUUGUAAACCUCUUUUUUCAGGGAGGAAUCAAUGACGUGUACAUGAAGAAUAAGCAUCGGCUAACUCCGUGCCAGCAGCCUCGGUAAU